UGCCUCAUGACAGGAACAGUUUUGCUCCACUACUCCUUUUGCUCUUCUACCAUAUGACAGACCACGAAACAAUGGAGCCAAGGAAUCAUGAGCUUAAAAUUCAGGAAUUCUGAGCCAAAAUUUUCUUCUUUAUAGAUUAGUGCAUGAGAAUUCAACAUCUUAUUCAACUUCAGAAAACUGGAUAUAAGACACAGUAUCUGGAUGAAGCAGAGUUGAUCUUGUUGGGAAGAAAAAAGCCAACAUUUAGAUAAAGAAUAAAAGAAACAAUCCUGGUAAAA